rnacentral:lncRNA from 1 species
CUGGAGGCUUGACAAUAAGCAGCCAUUCCCAAUCUAUUUUGCAACUUACGACUCAGCUCCAAAAAGCCCCCUUCAGAAGUAAUUAGUUUGCUUUACAUCCAGCCUUUAUAUUCUCAAGCUAAUAAAUGGCCAGUGCAGCUCCAAAAGGAGUUUGUUUCUCUGGCUGCCUACGGGGACUGGGGGAGUUGCUGUCUCCGGGCAGCACAACUCCAUCGGCAGCUGAAUGUCUUGGCAGGGACCAGGGCUCUCUACAAAAGGUGGCAAGCCACAAAAUCUAAAGUCUUUAUACCCUGUAUAAAAGUCAGCAUUCACAUGGUCUGGCAGAAACCUUCGGGUCUCCAAGUUUCAGUUUCCCCGUCUGCGGGAAGGGCUUCUCCAAAAGAUUUGUUGAUUCAGCAAACAUUUGCAUCUCAUGCCACAGCUUUCCUGCAUGACCUUGACAGAGCUUCUGGCCUCUCUGUGACUCACUUCCCCACUUCUAAAAUAGAGGAAAUUAGAGCAUUACAGUCAGGUGUCUGUCUUUUGCCUUCCCAAGGAGGCUUGCCAGGAGAAGUGCCACUUACGGUGCCACUCAUGGUGCCACUCAGCUGGUUUGGGGCACACUAGGAUGCCAAGGCCUGGGCUGUUGGUGGCAAUGAGUCCACGGCCACGUGCCCAGCAGAGAUGGAGCAGCUCAGACAUCAGCAAGGCGCCUACACGUCCCUGGCUGAAGGCUGCCUGUCACGCACCUUCCCACACCUCGGCGCGUGUCUGGACUGCGUCCUUAUUAACAGGUCUGCGACCACUCCACACAGGAUGCCUCCAAGGUGGAACGGAGGCAUGGCACAGUGACGUUGCUGACAAAAUCAUAUAUAUUGUACUAAUUGCCAUCCCUAAACAAUGCAUAUUGAUGUUGAUAACACUCAUCAGUACCAGCCAAACUUCCUGAACAACUGAUUUUCAGUGGUCUGUGCAACUGGUUGAAUUUUAAAACUGUGUUUUGAAUCAAGCACUUGGCUGAACACAAAAAAAAACUCCCUGGAAGUGUUCAGUGAGUAGUGCUCUCGUACUGUCAGUAACUGCCACCACAUCUGGGGAUUUGUGAGCUGUGUGCACUCACGGCAGAGCUUCCACAACCAGGGGCUUUAUGCUAGGCCUCAAGCUCAGCUUGUGUCUUAGACUCAAAUACAAGGAUUUUCAGAAGCAUCUCCAGGAAGAUAUUGUGGGCUCUUCACCUUCUCUGCUGCUUCAGGGUUAAGUACAGAAGAGGAGCUCCGUGAUCCUGUCACCUUCCCGCAGCUGCAGUGGGCUCUCGAACUGAGCAAACCUCAACUCCAAAACCUCCCCUGCUCCUGCUCCUUUGCUCCCACCCAAAGGCCUGUAGAGAAGAAGAAUAAUAACUGAUCUCUGUAUCUCCAUGUGGCUGAGCUAAUUAAGAGAUGCAUUAACCACGGGCCUAACUAGUGAAGCCUCAGAGCAUCUCUUGUGCUGCCGGUACAUCGUAUAAUCUCCUCACAUCCACAGUGGGCCUCAGUCAUUCAUGUUCUGGCAUCUGUGCAGUUUCUUGCUUCACAAAGAGUGUCACCAGGGAAGAAAGUGUUACUCAACACAAGUAAAUGUGACAGCAUCUGAGUCUAUAGUUAAGUCUAAACUACUCUGAAGUGAGAACUGAAGAAGCCUAACCCUGCCAGAUGAGUCACUGGCAGAAUCAGGACAAGAACAAGAAUCCCUCAUUACCAGCUCUGCGAUAUAAACACGUGCCUUCCCUCUCUGUUUCCCCAACCUUUCAUUAACACAGCGGUAGCACUUAGAGAUUUGGUCUAUUUUUCUCAGGAUCAACUUUCACCCAUUUUCGAGUCAGGAAGGAAUUCUUCCUCUCCUCUCCUUGCUCUUCAUUAACUUUCCCUGCUCCUGUAAAGCACCAGCAGCGUAAGGCUCCUCCUGGCUGCCAACUGGCCAGUGUGAACAUGAAGCAGAGAUUGCUGGCACGGGCAGGAUGUUUCAUACUUGCUGGGCUGCCCCUAGCCUCUCACCUGGGUAGGCAUCCCCCUACAGCUCUUCCCGUUGCUUUUCAUUCUUUGUGGGAUGCUGCAGCCCAAUGCGAACUUAUUAAAAUGCUGUGAGUCAGGCCUCCUCGAAAAGUCAUGCAUGACUUAAAAUCACAAGGAUGAUCAAAAACAAUAAAUUGCAUAUUUUCUACUUGCCUUUGGGUUUU